rnacentral:rRNA from 1 species
ACGAACGCUGGCGGCGUGCCUAAUACAUGCAAGUCGAACGAGUGACCCCUCGGUGGCAACACCUUGGGUGAUCUAGUGGCGAACGGGUGAGUAACACGUGAGGAACCUGCCCCGAAGACCGGGAUAACCAGAGGAAACUCUGGCUAAUACCGGAUGCCCCCCCCGGACCGCAUGAUCUGGUGAGGAAAUGGAUUCCGCUCCGGGAGGGCCUCGCGGCCUAUCAGCUUGUUGGUGGGGUAACGGCCUACCAAGGCGUCGACGGGUAGCUGGUCUGAGAGGACGAUCAGCCACACUGGGACUGAGACACGGCCCAGACUCCUACGGGAGGCAGCAGUAGGGAAUCUUGCGCAAUGGGCGAAAGCCUGACGCAGCAACGCCGCGUGCGGGAUGAAGGCCUUCGGGUUGUAAACCCCUUUCAGGAGGGAAGAAGUUGACGGUACCUCCAGAAGAAGCCCGCCUAAUUACGUGCCAGCAGCCGCGNUAAUACGUAGGGGGCGAGCGUUGUCCGGAUUUAUUGGGCGUAAAGAGUUCGUAGGCGGUUACGGAAUUCGGGUGUGAAAGACCGGGGCUUAACCCCGGGGUGUCAUUCGAUACUCCGUUGACUUGAGUCCGGUAGGGGAAGGUGGAAUUCCUGGUGUAGCGGUGAAAUGCACAGAUAUCAGGAGGAACACCGGUGGCGAAGGCGCCAUUCUGGGCCGGUACUGACGCUGAGGAGCGAAAGCUAGGGGAGCGAACAGGAUUAGAUACCCUGGUAGUCCUAGCCGUAAACGAUGGGCACUAGGUGUGGGGAGCUAUCCACUCUCUCCGUGCCGAAGCUAACGCAUUAAGUGCCCCGC